UACGAAGGGGGCUAGCGUUGCUCGGAAUCACUGGGCGUAAGGCGCACGUAGGCGGAUUGCUAAGUCAGGGGUGAAAUCCUGGAGCUCAACUCCAGAACUGCCUUUGAUACUGGCGAUCUCGAGUUCGGGAGAGGUGAGUGGAACUGCGAGUGUAGAGGUGAAAUUCGUAGAUAUUCGGAAGAACACCAGUGGCGAAGGCGGCUCACUGGACCGGUAUUGACGCUGAGGUGCGAAAGCGUGGGGAGCAAACAGG
rnacentral:rRNA from 1 species